GCCCCCCGCCCUGCAGACACGGGUACCCGGGAAGGCGACCGCGACUACCACUCACCCUGCGCAGCUUCGAGAACCAGAGCACCUCGGCAAGUCCCGCGAUGCCGCUACCUCCACUCCUUUACUCUUAGAGCCACAAAACCCCGACACUUCCGGCCACGCUUAACCCAGCGGAAGGAACCCCCGUCCCCACGAUGGUUGCGUCUGUCCUACGGUUUUUGCCUCUGAGCACAUUCCAGAGCCCGGCGAAGGGCGGGGCCUCGUAGCUCAAGUCCUUGUAAGGAAAUCGCGGAGAGGGACGCCCGACCCACGUGACUGGUGCUCGCCUCGCCCCGGGAGCCGUACUGCCACGAAGUAGUGCGCCUGCGCGGGGACCCAUGCGAGCACGCGCAGUAUCUGCACUGCGUGCCCUGUGUGAAGUGAGCUUUGUAAGGAGUCCAGCUGCUUCCCACGCUGACGGGGUUCGGUGAGGUCCUAAGGGCCUUAGCCAAGCGCCAUCAUUUUGGUCCAGUAAGACUUCAUAAGGUCGUGAGUGGCUGAAACAUUUUCUUCAAAAAGUUUACAGAUGUUCCUACCAGAGGCUCUUUGUCCCUGACAAACUCAGAAGAACCAGAGGAAAACAAGUGACUCUGGCCCACCACUCUCUGCGGCGCGGGCUGCGACUUGGUGAAAAUAGGAAUGAAAAGCCGGGCCUGCGUUUUCUGGGCUCACCCCGCCCAGAGCGGCUUCUAGCCACGGCUCUCAGAAAAGGAAGAGAAAGCCCGUUGGGUCUGCCCUCGCUGAGUCACCUCGCCCAGACCUCAUCUGCCAGCCCAGCGAGGGCCACCCCUACCCUCAGAAGUUCUCCAGCACUGCGCCUGGGACCGGUCUGCUCAGGUCCAGCUGUACCCAAGGACUCAGUAGCAUUCCACCCAUUACCAGUAACAUUCCCAAGUUAGCCUGGAGGUGAAGUCACUGGGAAAAAAUACCCGGGUUCUCUAGAACUGAAACGAAGGUGGUUGGUUUCCCAGACUUCCACAGUAAGAGUCACUUGGGGUACUUGAUAAAAAUACAAAUAAUCGAGUGGUUUAUCUCCAACGCACUAACAGCAUUUUUAAGGGAAGGUCCUGGGAAGCCAUGGGUUCAGCAGUGGUCCAAAGUGACUCUUGUCUGGGAAAUUGAGGACAUACACAGAUAGGUGGCAGGCAGGGUCAGCACGAACUCCAGGGGGCCUGAGGAGUAGGGCCUGCCUUUGUUCUUGGAGUUUGGCUUUGGGACAGUGGUGCGCCUGCAAUGCACAAUGGUUCCACAGGGUGGUGGCCUGCCACCAUGGGAGCAGGAGCCUCCCACUCACGUGCUCUCCUUCAGAAAAAAAAUCCCAUUAGUUUUGACCGUAGUAAGGAAAUUGUUUUUCCCUCAGCUUGAAAGCAGCAUUUGUUUGCUUUUUUAGUGUUUUCCUCCACUCAACCAUUGAACAGGUACUGAACAGCAAUUACAUUGCCUAAAGCACUAUCGUGGGAGCUGUAGCUUCGGUUUGUUCAAAUUGAACAGAUGUCACCUCUGGGAUGGGAUUGGGGAGUGUAGUAGAAAGGGUGUGGAGUUACAAGGGGCGUCAGAAAACAUGUAGAACAGAUAACAGGAGGAAGUAAGCCUGGUGGAGGCCUUGUGUAAGAUGUUCUGUGGGGGCUUACUGAAGUGAGUUCGGAAUGGGAGAGAAGCAUUCCAGUGUGUGGUACUGUAGGUGAUCAGAGGCACAGCUGAUUGAAACUUGCCAGAAAUGGUGUAGUCUGUGUUCAUUCAUUUAUUCAUUUCAUUGAUGGCUAUGGAUAUACCAAGGUGAGCAAGCCAAUGUGGAAAAAUUUUAAUAUUCCAUCUAAUAUUUUGAUAUUAAAUAUUGAUGACUGGAAACCACCAAAGGCUCUACUUUUCCCCAUGCUGCCAUUUUGGACUGUACAGAUCUUUGAAAAAUCUCAGGAGAAUCUCCACACCUACCUUUUCUCUUUUCCGUGGUGCUGAGGAUUGAACCCAGGCUCCUCACUGAAAUACAUUGCCACCCCAUUGUUUAUUUUCUGUUUUGUUGUUUGUUUGUUUUUUGGUACUGGGGAUCGAACUUGGGACCUUGCACUUUCAAGGCAGGCGCCGAAACCACUGAGCUAAAUCCCCGGCCCUUUAUUUUCUAUUUUAAGACAAAGUCUUGCUAAGCCACUAAACUGACCAGGCUGGGCUCAAACUUGUGUUCCUCCUCCUUCUGCUGCCCGGAGUACUGGGAUGUCUUUUCAAACUUUUGACCAAAACUUGUAGUAAGAGAUUUAUAUCAUUAAGUAAUACCUAGUGAUCUGUGAUGCUUCCUAAGAUUCCUAUUCUAUAGAAAGAAAGUUGUGUAUUAGCUUGGGGCAUGCAAAAAAAAAGUGCAAACUGGGCAGCAUAAGCAACAGAAAUCAUAGUCCAAGAUCACACGGCAUAAAGUCACAGAUCAAGGUGCCUACUGAUUUGGUUCCUGGUGAGGGCACUCUUUCUGGUUUGUUGAAAGCCACCUUGCCUUGUCUUUACAUGGCACAGAGAGAAAGCUAUUUCUCUCUUCCUCGUAUAAGGACACCAUGCUGUGAGAGGAGAAACUCUUUUAACCUUAAUUAUCUCCUAAAGAACCCACCUCCAAAUACAGUCACAUUGGAGGUCAGACCUGCAUUUGAAUUGGAGGAGGGGAUACAAUUCAGUCUAUCGUGAAUCUGAUGCCUUUUAAUUUUGUUUUAUUAAAUGCUUAAGACCCACUAAAUGUGAGUUUGUGAUCCACUAAUGCUCUGAUUCUCCCCAGGGUGGCAAGGAGUAGCUUUUUACCCUAGAGGAACAGUUGUUGCUGUCUGGAGACAUUUUGGAUGUUUGCAUCCGGAGUGCUGCUACCAGUAUCUGGGGUGCGGUGAGGGAGCCAAAGAUACUGCUUAAAGUCCUGUUAUGCACAGGACAGCCCCAAAUGGCAGAGCAUUGUUCAGCCCAAAAUGUCAGGUGCUAAGAUUGAGAAAACCACAUGCUAAUAAUUUGGAGACUUCGUAUUUAUAGAAAUCGAUAAUUUGGAUGUGCUAUAAAUACUAAAAGGAUGCUAUAUAUUGCUCCUACUUCAAGGUAUGGCAUUUAUUUUUGUGAGAUUGGAUCUAAAGGGAGAAAGAAAAGGAAUUAACAGUUGUAUUUGCCUGUUAUGUUCUAGGUAUUUUACAUAUGGAUUUCUAACAUUAAUUCUUAUAACCACCCUGUGAGGUAGGCAUUACUACUUGCAUCUCACAGGUAAUUGAGGCUUAAAAUACUUCAGUGAUGUACACCAUUUACCCAAAUGGCAAUAGGAGAAGGAGGAUUAUAACUUAUGCCUCUGUCCAGGAAUAGGCUAGAAAGGAGGGGAAGGUAUAUCCCUCCUAAUAUAAUGUCUAAUCUAUGGGUGCCAACAGAUAUUCAGUAACUGACUACUUGCUCAAGUGCAAAUAACUAGUCAUGUCCCAAGGGAAAGUCUAUAUUUUAUUUUACCAUAACAUGCUUUCUUUUGGUCCAAAGGAAGGAGACUUCUUACCCAGACAACAGCAAGGAAGCAUAGGGAAUUGAUCCUUGAUAUUUACGACCUAAAUCAAUGAUUUUAUAUUGAACACUUACAAUUUUUAUUGCCUGUAAGAAACUGCUGAAUUUUGAGAAUCAUGGCUUACAUGCUGAUUUUCCUAACAAAAAUGGAAUUCCAAAAAAAAAAGGAAUUCUAAUUAUUUAUAUGUGAAAUAUGUAUGAUUUUUUAACAGUUAGCAUUAAUCUAUUAAUCCAGGAAAACCGUAGAAAGAGCUACUUUCUUUUAAAUGAAUAAGGGUGUUUCAUGAAAUCUGUAUGAAAAUGAAUUUUAGAGCACCAAGAGAACAAUUAGUAUAUUAAAGGGGUAUAGAAAAUUCUACAUAAAAAAUUGCUAAAAGCCAGGUGUGGUGUUGCAGGGUUUUUUUGUUUGUUUGUUUGUUUGUUUUGGUACUGGGGAUCAAACUCGGGACCUUGCGCCUGUGAGGCAGUGUUGAAGGUUUUUUUAAAAAAUGUGUUGCUGGUUUGAAAAAUUUAAUCAGUUAUUUUAAAAUUCAGAAAUAAUAAGAUAAAAUAAAUGUUGAACUGAGUGAAGGAUAUUUGGAUAAAUAUACUUUUUUGGGGUAAAAAUACUAUUUCUGUAGUGGUAAGUUUUUUUGAGGUGAUCAAACCCAGGGCCUUGUCCAUGCUCAGCAAGCAGUCUAUCAUUGUGCUAUAUCCCCAGCUUUCAUACUAGUAAAUUUGAAAAAAUAAGUUAAAUAGAUAAAUGCUUAGAAAAAUUAAAAUACCAAAGAUUCAAGAGAGAAAAUAAAACAAACAAAAAAAAGGAUGAUUGCCUGGCUAAUGAGUCACCUGACCCUCAUAAUUAAAGAAACACUACACCAAUCGUUAAAAAAAUUCCUUAGGGCCUGGGGAUUUAGCUCAGUGGUUUUGCCCCCUUGCAAACGCAUAGACCUGAGUUUGAUUCCCGGUACAAAAAAAAAAAAAAAAAUUCCUAAUAUCAUAAGCUGUUUUGAAGUACAUAGCCUAACAUAGCUGAUACUAGUGACAGUUUAUUAAUGAAUGCAUGUAGUGAUCAAGCUACUUUUUACUAAAUUAACUUUAUGAUGCAAAUAUAUUUAAUCCCCAAAUAAAACUACUAUAAUACCUAAAACAAAAAUUAUAGUUUAAUGUUAGGCAACCCUUUUGUUCUUCAUCUAAAAAAGGGCAAAAUAAUAGAACCUACUUUAUUCUGGCUUGUGAAGAUUAAGGGAGACAAUUCAUUUAAAUUCCUUAGUACAAAAUCAACUUUGGUUGUAUUGAACUCUGAAAUUUGGAGUUUGCAGAGCAGUUUGCCUACCCUGACUAAUUUAUUUUAUUUUUUAGUACCGGGGAUCAAACUCAGGACUUUGCGCUUAUAAGGCAGGCACAGCGCCACUGAGCUACAUCCCCAGUCCCCCUGACUAAUUUAUGUACAAUUAUUUGUCUACUUGACUGGAGGAAACAAGCAGAUUGGUCACAUUUCAGUGAUCACAGACUUCAAGUAGGCCCCUUGAUGGUCAUGACAUUUCAUGUUGCCUUUCUCUUAGAUGUCAAAUUUAUGCCUUCUGUCAUCUCACAUCUCUAAUACCUCCUACCCCAUCCUCACUCUCAACUGAUGGCCUUGCUUCUAAGUCACUGAGAAAAUAAUAACUACACAAGCUCCCAUCACAUUUAUCCACCAUCCAACAUCUGUCCCCAGAUGAUGUCCUCUCCUGCUUUUCCUAUUAACUAAAGGGCAAUUCUCCUUGCUUCUACAAAAAGCCAUUUUCUCCAUCAUCUUGAUCAUGUCACACAAUAACUUCCCUCUCCUGCAUCAUUAGGUUCUCUCUUUCCAUUGGAUUAUUCCCAUCAACAAUGAUGUUGGAAUGCAUGCCAUAUGUGGAAGGCAGAAUUGUCCUCUACUAAAGAUAUCCAUGUCCUAAUUCCCAGAACCGGUAAACAUGUUAGGUUAUAUAGCAAAGGGAGAUUAAGGCAGAAGAUGGAAUUAGAUUGCUGCUGAGCUGACCUUAUCAGCUGGAUUAUCCUGUGUUAUCCCAGUUGAGCGCAAUGCCAUCAACAAGGGGUCUUCAAAGCAAAAGGAGGCAGAAGAAACGAGAAAGAGUGGUCAGAGAGAGGCAGUGUUUCUGGCUUGCAAGAUGGAGGAAGGCAGCCAGGAGCCAAGGACUGGAGCAGGUGCCCUCCAGAAGCUGGGAAAGGCAUGAAUACUGAUUCUCCACUGGCGCCUCCAGAAAGGAACACAGUCUUCUUGACAUCUUGAAUUUAGGCCAGUGAGGCCUGUGUUGGACUUCUCACCUACAGAACUGUCAGGACCUGGAGCUUUCAGAGGUCCGUAACCUUCCCAUGGUCAUACUGUGGCUAAGAGGACAAAACAGGAAUCUGGCACAGGGAAAUGGACUCAGUGAUUUCUUGCUUAUCUUUGUAGCAAGGAUUAAUUGCACUGAAAUCAAUGCCUUAGGAAAAUACCAACUUUGCCAGCCAUCGUGGCCUAGGGAGGACAGGGGAUGCUUGUGGUCUGAAAAAAGAAGAGGACACAGAACAUGGUCAGCUUAAUCCUUGGAGACAUAUGCCUGACUCAGAGGUAAAAAUAGUACUUUCAUUAUUAAAACAGCUGAGGAAGUCACGGAAAUUUAUCAGAAGUAGUUUGUUUUCAUUUAUGAGGCUGUAUAGCAUACUGAUUAAGCCUGUUAAGGAUUCUGAAUUUGAAUCCUAGCUCUAACACUUCUUAGCUGUGUGUCUUAGAGAAGUUAUUGAGCUCCUCUGUGCUCCAGUUUUCUCAUGAGUGAAAAGCACAUAAUAAUAACAGUACAAGUUGGGUAUGGUGGUGCAUGCCUGGAAUCCCAGCACCCAGGAGGCUGAAGCAGGAAUUCAAGGCCAGCUUGAACAUCUUCAUAGUGUUGUCCCAUGGGACCUGGGAGUCAGUGAGCCAGUGCAGAAUAUGCUGUGGUCACUGCUUUCGCUGGGAACUUUAUUGAUCUGCUGUUUGUGACGUAGAAGUCAGUGCUCAUGAACUGAAGCCGGCUAAGUUGUUAGCUUGCACAAAGGGUAAAAUCUUUGCUCUGUAACAGUUCCUUUUACGCUGUGAUUGAAUGUACGCAACAUUACAUUUACCAUCUUAACCAUUUUUAAGGGUUCAGUUCAAUGAACUGUUACUAUCUUGCAGAACUGAAAUUCUGUACCCAAUGAACAAGAAUUCCCUGUCCUUGUCCCCAGCCACUGGUUACCUUUGUUCUGUGUCUUUACAGAUUUGACUAUUCUAGGUGCCUCAUAUAAGUGGUUUGUCAUUUUGUGUCUGACUUAUUCUUCUUAGGUCUUCAAGGUCUAUCCACAUUGUAGCAUGUGUCCUGAUUUCAUCCAUUUUUUAGGUUGAAUAAUAUUCCAUUGUAAGUAUAUACACUUUAUGGUUCUUAAUACUACUGUAAUUGUAUUU